GACGAACGCUGGCGGCGUGCUUAACACAUGCAAGUCGAACGAAGUGGCGAACGGGUGAGUAACGCGUCAUCAACCUGCCCUUCAGAGGGGGACAACAGUUGGAAACGACUGCUAAUACCGCAUAUAGAAGGAGGGGCUUGCGCUUGAUUAGCUAGUUGGAGGGGUAACGGCCUACCAAGGCGAUAUUCAGUAGCCGGUCGGAGAGAAUGAACGGCAGCAUUGAGACUGAGACACGGCCCAAACUCCUACGGGAGGCAGCAGUAGGGAAUCUUCCGCAAUGGACGAAAGUCUGACGAAGCAACGCCGCGUGAGUGAUGACGGCCUUCGGGUUGUAAAGCUCUGUUAAUCGGGACGCGGUACCGGAAUAGAAAGCCACGGCUAACUACGUGCCAGAAGCCGCGGUAAUAC
rnacentral:rRNA from 1 species